AGCGGUUGCCAGGCAGCGGGGAGGGCCCCGCGGCCCGGCGCCGGGGGUUAGUGUGCCGGCGGCUCGGUACUCACGGCGGAGGAAGCGGCCCAGGAGGCGGGCGGCGGCGCGGCUGCAGUGAGACAUCGUCCCCUUCGAGAUUCUUAACAGCAGCAUUUUCUUUCUGCUAAACUUCAGGGGACAUUUGUUCUGGAAGAGAAAAUGGUUAAUGAACCACAAGAAAGGCUCAGCUCCUAUUUUUUGACAAGGGAGUUUAGGCAAACAUUCACAAGAAGAGCAUGUGUCAGGGACAGUGAUUACCCGAGAGGCAUCUCCGGAGCAAACAGAGGAUGUCCACGAGUAAAUUGACCUUAGAUCAGUGUCACAAGAAACCACUGAACUCUACAAUGAGGCUUCCCACAAGGGAUUUUAAAAUGCUUUAACUUCUACACAUGAGCUUCAGACACAGAUACUGGCUGGGCAGCUGAGGGACCUGGGUGUGGUGCUUGGCUGGCUGCACACUUCCUCUGGAUCAUCACUGAAAUCACUCAAUCUCUCCCAGCCUUGGUUUCUUCUCCAUAAGAGAAGUUAUUGCUAAUCCUUUGUUUACUUGCACCAUCAGCCAAAAAUGCGCAAUGCAAAUAAAUUGCCAACCCCUGAAAUGUCUGGAUUUACCAACACUGAGAGCAGCAAAAACAAUUUAGACAUCUGGGUUUUUCAGGGUGUCCUGUUUACAGCCCAGAGUCCAGGUUUGAUGUUAUACUGCAGAAUAAAAACUGACUGUGCUCUAGGCACUGGCACUUAGAAACAUCAAGAUAUAGUUGUCACCUGCACCAGCCCUUCCCCGUGUCUCUCUUCUCCACGAGGCCUUGAUGGAUACAGCAAGUGCCUGCCAGUCUCAGCCUUUAUCUGCACGAGGAACUCACCCCUUAACUCGCACAGCAUCCUCUUUUCCAUGUGCACAUUUCCAUAUGUGAAUCCACGUAUCUCCACUUCUGGAUUUCAUACUGACCUUGGUCUUGCUGCAGAUUAACACAGGAGACGUGUUUGAACUGCAGCUCCAUACACUUGCUUGUGGACUGGCAUCUAGUACAGCUUGAGCUGCCCUGCAGCACCCUGUCCUGCUUCCUUCUGCCUCUCCAGGAAAACUUGGGUUUCCCGUAAGUCCUGUAUCCCAUUAACCAGUCCUCCACCAGAAGUCUCAGAUACCCUAGGGCACCCCACAUGGCACUAGACACCUAUAUUUAGACACCUAAUAAGAGUCUUUGCUGUCUGAACAGUAUGCAGCUAAGGCUGAAAUUCAGGUCCAGCUUCAACCACCUGAAAGUGUCUGCAUGGCAGGUGUGUACGUGUGUGCCGUCCCAGCUCUCGUUGUGCCAGUGGAAACCUAGUCCACGCAGUCAGCAGAGACGAGAGAAGUUCACGUGCUGUCUACAGGUGUCUGCUGCAAGAAGAAGGUUCAACUGCUCUUUUGGAGCCCUUGGAGUGCUGGACGAUCUCCACUGGUUGCAACAAGAGCUUAGAAACCCACCCACGUGGAGGCAGCCCACGGUGGAUCUGUCUGCUGGAGGUGUUUGAAGCUGGACCUGACUCCCACCCAAAAGUAUUUUGAACCCAGUGAAAUGUGUUGCUAAAUAAGAGAGGCAGGGACAGGCAGGCUAAUGUGGAGGUUGGGGAAAGGUUCAGUUCCAAACUUCUGAAGUAAUGGGACCUGCAGACCAUCUGGAGCGGUCUGUUAUAGCACGAAACUGAAAAGCGUGGUUUCUUUUCUUGAAUAAAGCAUUUAACACUUUUUUCUACCUCACAGUCAUGACAAAUGACUUGGAGCCCCGUUACUGCUUUGCCAGAGAGUGACAAUGUAAAAUGAUCAGGGGAAUCCCGCUGCCAGCACGUAUCACAGGGUAUUUGCUGUUCAUGUUUACAUUUGCACAGCCAGAGGUUAAAUGCUGCCACCAGUUAUCUUAGGGAUUUGAGCCUUGCUUUUGACUGACAGCUUCAGUAGAUGCUGUUUCCAUAGCUGGCCCAUCAAUACAUUCACAUCUCUGUUAAAUGUUAUCGUAAGAGAGCGGCAGAAAGCAAGAUGCCACCUUCUUUGCUCCGGUCCAGUAGUUCCUCCUGCCUUUUCUGUAAUACUGAUCUGUUUGGGUACUUGUAGGACUCCAUCAACCUCUUGCCACUUCCUGAAAAGGAAUCUCAAAACCGAAACAAGUUUCUUGCACCCCAAGGUCUUCAGCGUUCACUACAGCACAGCUUCCCAGGAAUAUGAAGAGCCUGGACUGUCAGCACCUAUCUCUGAGCAGGAGGAAAUGCUGGUCAGGAAUGUCGUGCUCCUGCAGACCUCUCUGUAACAGGACAUGCAGCCUCAUCAUGGUAUAAAGACAGCAAACCUCAAAGUUUUCUAAAUAGUGAUUGCAUAUUAAAUGGGAAAUAAGAAGUGUCAUUUCCCUUCUGUGUAGCAAGGAGAAAAGGUCUGUUUGGAGCUCUGUUCAAGGAUGUUUUGGUGCCAGCAAGAGACUUGCUCCAUCAUUUCCCACCCAGCUGCUCACUGCCCUUGGACUGCAGCCCCUUACACCACAAACUUUGUGGUGAACUUCACGCCAGGCAGAAAUCCUUUGGGAUGAUGGCAGAAGUCACAUGCUUGAUCCGUAUGGUAAACUCAGACAUAUUAAAAAA